rnacentral:rRNA from 1 species
UACGUAGGGUGCAAGCGUUGUCCGGAAUUAUUGGGCGUAAAGAGCUCGUAGGCGGUUUGUCGCGUCGAAUGUGAAAACCCGGGGCUCAACUCCGGGCCUGCAUUCGAUACGGGCAGACUAGAGUUCGGUAGGGGAGACUGGAAUUCCUGGUGUAGCGGUGAAAUGCGCAGAUAUCAGGAGGAACACCGGUGGCGAAGGCGGGGUCUC